rnacentral:misc_RNA from 1 species
UGUUGAAUGUUGAUGUUCUUGAAUGUUGAUGACACUCGAAUGUUCUUUGACGUGGAAAUGUUCGAGAGAUAAGGUAGUCUUAGGUAACGCUUGUUCGGUUAAAUACAUAAAGGAACGUGUGCAAAGGAAACGAAGAGGAACUGAAAUUUUGACAGAAUUUCAGGUGCUCCUCGUUCCCAAGGAAAUAAUUCGAACGUCGUGUCGAUGGGAGACGAAUGGCACGGAAUAAUAACGUUUCGUUUCGCCAUGUGGCUCGGCUGACACGUUGCGAACCGCGUCUACUUCGCGCUGCGAGUUAGUGGUUGGUUGGCGGCGCGUCAUCGCAUAUUAAACAGGGGAAAAUGAUGAAGCCGCGUGCGAUUCAACGCAACCAGCUCGCGGAAGAGCCGUUACCUGCACCAAUAGAACGCGGACGGAAGCGUUUCGAGGAUUCCGCUUGAAACGUUCCGCUUGCUGCGCUGGGACACGUUCCACGGAAAGCUGUCAUCAGGUUCAUCUCCGUAAAUCCCGCGGAUUAACGUGCACCACAGCCAAUACGUAAUAUUUAAUGCUUGGAAUUUUUUCCAGCUCCAUGGCCUAGCUUCUUUCUAUCCUCCUGCCUAUUUUUAUUUUCUAUUUCCUCUC